rnacentral:rRNA from 1 species
GACGAACGCUGGCGGCGUGCUUAACACAUGCAAGUCGAACGGAAAGGCCCUGCUUUUGUGGGGUGCUCGAGUGGCGAACGGGUGAGUAACACGUGAGUAACCUGCCCUUGACUUUGGGAUAACUUCAGGAAACUGGGGCUAAUACCGGAUAGGAGCUCCUGCUGCAUGGUGGGGGUUAGAAAGUUUCGGCGGUUGGGGAUGGACUCGCGGCUUAUCAGCUUGUUGGUGGGGUAGUGGCUUACCAAGGCUUUGACGGGUAGCCGGCCUGAGAGGGUGACCGGCCACAUUGGGACUGAGAUACGGCCCAGACUCCUACGGGAGGCAGCAGUGGGGAAUAUUGCACAAUGGGCGGAAGCCUGAUGCAGCAACGCCGCGUGCGGGAUGACGGCCUUCGGGUUGUAAACCGCUUUCACCUGUGACGAAGCGUGAGUGACGGUAAUGGGUAAAGAAGCACCGGCUAACUACGUG